rnacentral:rRNA from 1 species
UGGGAAUUUGGACAAUGGGCGAAAGCCUGAUCCAGCAAUGCCGCGUGUGUGAAGAAGGCCUUCGGGUUGUAAAGCACUUUUGUCCGGAAAGAAAUCCUUGGCUCUAAUACAGUCGGGGGAUGACGGUACCGGAAGAAUAAGCACCGGCUAACUACGUGCCAGCAGCCGCGGUAAUACGUAGGGUGCAAGCGUUAAUCGGAAUUACUGGGCGUAAAGCGUGCGCAGGCGGUUUGCUAAGACCGAUGUGAAAUCCCCGGGCUCAACCCGGGAACUGCAUUGGUGACUGGCAGGCUAGAGUAUGGCAGAGGGGGGUAGAAUUCCACGUGUAGCAGUGAAAUGCGUAGAGAUGUGGAGGAAUACCGAUGGCGAAGGCAGCCCCUGGCAAGUACUGACGCUCAUGCACGAAAGCGUGGGGAGCAAACNGAUUAAUNCCCUGGUAGUCCACGCCCUAAAANGAUGUCAACUA